rnacentral:rRNA from 1 species
CGGACGGGUGGAGUAACGCGUGGGUAACCGUGCCCACUACAGGGGGAGUAACAGUUAGAAAUGACUGCUAAUACCGCAUAAGCGCACUGCAUCGCAUGAUGGAGUGUGAAAAACUGAGGUGGUAUGGGAUGGGCCCGCGUCUGAUUAGCCAGUUGGCGGGGUAACGGCCCACCAAAGCGACGAUCAGUAGCCGACCUGAGAGGGUGACCGGCCACAUUGGGACUGAGACACGGCCCAAACUCCUACGGAAGGCAGCAG